GUUGUAUGGUUAAGUGACUAAGCGUACAUGGUGGAUGCCUUGGCAGUCAGAGGCGAUGAAGGACGUACUAACCUGCGAUAAGCCGUGAGCAGUCGGUAAGAGACAUUACGACUCACGGAUUUCCGAAUGGGGAAACCCACUUAGCAUAAGCUAGGUAUCGCUACGUGAAUACAUAGCGUAGCGAGGCGAACCGGGAGAACUGAAACAUCUAAGUACCCCGAGGAAAAGAAAUCAACCGAGAUUCCCUCAGUAGCGGCGAGCGAACGGGGAUUAGCCCUUAAGCAUCUUGGAAGUUAGUGGAACGGUCCUGGAAAGGCCGGCGAUACAGGGUGAUAGCCCCGUACACGAAAACAACCUUGAUGUGAAAUCGAGUAGGGCGGGACACGUGACAUCCUGUCUGAAUAUGGGGGACCAUCCUCCAAGGCUAAAUACUCCUGACUGACCGAUAGUGAACCAGUACCGUGAGGGAAAGGCGAAAAGAACCCCUGUGAGGGGAGUGAAAUAGAACCUGAAACCGUGUACGUACAAGCAGUGGGAGCCCUUCGGGGUGACUGCGUACCUUUUGUAUAAUGGGUCAGCGACUUACAUUUUGUAGCGAGGUUAACCGUAUAGGGGAGCCGUAGGGAAACCGAGUCUUAACUGGGCGUCUAGUUGCAAGGUGUAGACCCGAAACCGGGUGAUCUAGCCAUGGGCAGGUUGAAGGUUGAGUAACAUCAACUGGAGGACCGAACCCACUAACGUUGCAAAGUUAGGGGAUGACCUGUGGCUGGGGGUGAAAGGCCAAUCAAACUCGGAGAUAGCUGGUUCUCCCCGAAAGCUAUUUAGGUAGCGCCUCGGACGAAUACUACUGGGGUAGAGCACUGUUUGGGCUAGGGGGUCAUCCCGACUUACCAACCCCAUGCAAACUCCGAAUACCAGUAAGUAAUAUCCGGGAGACACACGGCGGGUGCUAACGUCCGUCGUGAAGAGGGAAACAACCCAGACCGCCGGCUAAGGUCCCAAAGUUCUGGUUAAGUGGGAAACGAUGUGGGAAGGCUCAGACAGCUAGGAUGUUGGCUUAGAAGCAGCCAUCAUUUAAAGAAAGCGUAAUAGCUCACUAGUCGAGUCGGCCUGCGCGGAAGAUGUAACGGGGCUCAAACCAGGCACCGAAGCCGCGGAUUCACGCUAAGCGUGAGUGGUAGGGGAGCGUUCUGUAAGUCUGCGAAGGUGUAUCGAGAGGUAUGCUGGAGAUAUCAGAAGUGCGAAUGCUGACGUAAGUAACGAUAAAGGGGGUGAAAAGCCUCCUCGCCGGAAGACCAAGGGUUCCUGUCCAACGUUAAUCGGGGCAGGGUGAGUCGACCCCUAAGGCGAGGCCGAAAGGCGUAGUCGAUGGGAAGCAGGUUAAUAUUCCUGCACGACUUGUAAUUGCGAUGGGGGGACGGAGAAGGCUAGGUGGGCCAGGCGACGGUUGUCCUGGUGAAAGUGCGUAGGUGGUGUUUCUAGGCAAAUCCGGAGACACAACACUGAGACACGAGACGAACACACUACGGUGUGGAAGCCAUUGAUGCCCUGCUUCCAGGAAAAGCCUCUAAGCUUCAGAUUACAAGUCAUCGUACCCCAAACCGACACAGGUGGUCGGGUAGAGAAUACCAAGGCGCUUGAGAGAACUCGGGUGAAGGAACUAGGCAAAAUAGAACCGUAACUUCGGGAGAAGGUUCGCUCUUGACAGUGAAGUCCCUUGCGGAUGGAGCAGUUGGGAGUCGCAGUGACCAGAUGGCUGGGACUGUUUAUCAAAAACACAGCACUCUGCAAACACGAAAGUGGACGUAUAGGGUGUGACACCUGCCCGGUGCCGGAAGGUUAAUUGAUGGGGUUAGCGCAAGCGAAGCUCUUGAUCGAAGCCCCGGUAAACGGCGGCCGUAACUAUAACGGUCCUAAGGUAGCGAAAUUCCUUGUCGGGUAAGUUCCGACCUGCACGAAUGGUGUAACCAUGGCCAUGCUGUCUCCACCCGAGACUCAGUGAAAUCGAAUUCGCCGUGAAGAUGCGGUGUACCCGCGGCUAGACGGAAAGACCCCGUGAACCUUUACUACAGCUUGGCACUGAACAUUGAACCUACAUGUGUAGGAUAGGUGGGAGGCUUUGAAGGCGUGACGCCAGUUGCGCUGGAGCCGUCCUUGAAAUACCACCCUUGUAUGUUUGAUGUUCUAACGCAGGCCCGUGAAUCCGGGUCGCGGACAGUGCCUGGUGGGUAGUUUGACUGGGGCGGUCUCCUCCCAAAGAGUAACGGAGGAGCACGAAGGUUGGCUAAUCCUGGUCGGACAUCAGGAGGUUAGUGCAAUGGCAUAAGCCAGCUUAACUGCGAGACGGACAGGUCGAGCAGGUACGAAAGUAGGUCAUAGUGAUCCGGUGGUUCUGAAUGGAAGGGCCAUCGCUCAACGGAUAAAAGGUACUCCGGGGAUAACAGGCUGAUACCGCCCAAGAGUUCAUAUCGACGGCGGUGUUUGGCACCUCGAUGUCGGCUCAUCACAUCCUGGGGCUGAAGUCGGUCCCAAGGGUAUGGCUGUUCGCCAUUUAAAGUGGUACGCGAGCUGGGUUCAGAACGUCGUGAGACAGUUCGGUCCCUAUCUGCCGUGGGCGUUGGAUGAUUGAAGGGAGUUGCUCCUAGUACGAGAGGACCGGAGUGAACGAACCUCUGGUGUUCGGGUUGUCACGCCAGUGGCACUGCCCGGUAGCUAAGUUCGGAAUCGAUAACCGCUGAAAGCAUCUAAGCGGGAAGCGAGCCCUGAGAUGAGUCAUCCCUGACCCCUUGAGGGUCCUAAAGGGCCGUUGGAGACCACAACGUUGAUAGGUGGGGUGUGUAAGCGCGGCGACGUGUUGAGCUAACCCAUACUAAUUACCCGUGAGGCUUAACCAUACAACACCCAAGAAGUGUU
rnacentral:rRNA from 1 species